AUUGAACGCUGGCGGCAGGCUUAACACAUGCAAGUCGAACGAGUGGCGGACGGGUGAGUAAUGCUUGGGAAUCUAGCUUAUGGAGGGGGAUAACUACGGGAAAAUGUAGCUAAUACCGCGUACCAUAGGAUGAGCCCAAGUGGGAUUAGGUAGUUGGUGAGGUAAAGGCUCACCAAGCCGACGAUCUCUAGCUGGUCUGAGAGGAUGACGAGCCACACGGGGACUGGGACACGGCCAAGACUCCUACGGGAGGCACCGGGGGGGAAGUUUGCGCAAUGGGGGCAACCUGACGAAGCAAUGCCGCGGGAUGGAAGAAGGCCUUCGGGUGGUAAAGUCUUUUCAGUAGCGAGGCGUUAACGACAGAAGAAGCACCGGCUAACUCCGUGCCAGCCGCCGCGGUAAUAC
rnacentral:rRNA from 1 species